rnacentral:rRNA from 1 species
UAGCCACGGGAAUACCAGCUCUCCGAGUGGUUGGGACGCUUACUGGGCCUAAAGCAUCCGUAGCCGGCUGGACAAGUCCCCCUGUUAAAUCCAGCGAUCUAAUCGUUGGGCUGUGGGGGAUACUGCUCAGCUAGGGGCGGGAGAGGCCGACGGUAUUCUCGGGUAGGGGUGAAAUCUUAUAAUCCCGGGAGGACCACCAGUGGCGAAGGC